CUUACUUUUAAAGGGGAUUCAGGUAGUUCAUAUUAAACUUUCUUUUGAUUUUAAGUUGCCAGCUGCUCAAGUACAAACGUGAGAACUUUCUGAAUACUGUUGCUGUAAACAAGCGUAUAUUCGGUUCCUGCUAUGUGAAAAGGAGCCAAACGUAAUGAUCGUGGUCUUAUUCAAGGACAGAGUGCUGAUGAUAUCAUUUCCAUAGACAGUACAAUGCUGCAGCUGGCUCUGUCAGUCUAGGAGGAGAGCUCACUUAAAAAAAGACCAUGAAGUAAUUUGCAAUUCAGAGGCAGUAUUUUAAAGGAAAUGAGCUGGAAGUCUACUCAUUGAAAUCAAAGGAAACCUUGUGCUUUCUUUCUUUUUAGUAUUUUUGUUUCUUCAAAGUAUAACCAUACCAGCUUGCAUAGCCCAUGUUAGGAAUUCAGGAAAAGGUGACAGUGUUAAGAAUCUUGCUUUUUGGAAAAGUUCUUUGGAGGGAGACCUUGGAGGAAAAAAUUGUAUAGGUGUCUGGAAUUUAAGCCUACAUUGCUCAUUUCAUUUAAGACAUUUAAGACAUGUUUCAGAGAUAUUUAUUAGUAUCUGUUCCCUCACAGUGCAAGGCUGAUAAGUAUAUAUGUGCACGAAUCCCAACGGCAUGAAAGCAGAGUCAGAAUUCCCACCCUCCUUGGCUCAAAGGCAGCACAAAUGAAGCAGGUGUUCCAGUUUGAUGGCCAGGUCCUUUCGUCUUGUGACUCUACCAUCCCCAAGGUCUUGCUGUCAACUGCAUCAAGCCUGAAGACAGGGACAGAGAGCAUGGAGCACAUCUCAGUUUGAACCAGCCACAUUUCAAGUGCUCAGUAACCACAUGAGGAGCCAAGCUCCUGUACUGGACAGUGCAGGUCUUGAGCAUACAGGUGCUCAAUAUGGGAUAGCUGUCAGAUAAUAAAAAUAAUGCAAAGUUUCCGAAGAAGAAAGGUGUAUUUUGAGAGCUGUGGAGAAAAGCUGUAGCCAGUGGCCAAGUCAGCAAUACCUGAGGCUUCACUCACCUGCUAGCAUCUGGAAAAACCGGGAUACCUCACACGCCCUAUUGGAUGAGUAAGGCCACCGGACGAGGAGUGAGAUGGACACUUGUGCAAAAGCCCUUGCCUUCCAGACACCCGCAGAGAAGAGUGGAGAGAGAGGACACCAGAACAACAGGCUUGUUGCGUGGGUGGAAGGAGACAGUGGGCAGCAGUCUUUGCCGGAAAGGUCUCUGCCAGCAGAGUAUCUCAGAAUGGAAUCCAUCCAGACACCAUCAGAAAUCUUGCUGAAGCAUACUGUUCCUGGGGUUUGUUGGUGGCAGAGUAUGUAAUGCUGAUAGUUUCUUCCUUCCUAUAAAACUUCCUGUGGCUAAUUUGUGGCCAGCAUACUUCCAGUUAGGAAGUUGGAAGUAGCCAACUAGGCUGUCUACUGAAGAGUUUUAACCAGUUUUCAUGGUAGGAAAUUUCCUAAGAAGUGAUUUAGAUGCAAGCCUCUCACUAGAUGUGCUUGGGGGAGGAAUCCAUUAUAUGUAUUUAAAACUCAGUUGUAAUAUGAGAGUAAAAUAUGUGUCAUAUGAAGAGGUAAGCUACUUACUCUGGUGUCCAAAGCAAGAACUGUCUCCCACCCACAUUUAAUUAAUGAUUACGUUUCAUUGCUCAGCCUCAUCAUCAUCAUCUUAUCGCUGUGAGUUCCUGAAUCAGAAGGAUGAAAGGGCAAUUAGUGCCAAGUUACCUGAGUCUACCUCUCUGCUCUUACCAAGCAGUCUGGGUGAUGGGUUCUGAAUCAUUUUGCACAGAAAGUCCCAAAGGUGUCAGUGGGGAUCUGUAAGGAGGAGCAAGUUUAAGAUCAUUUAAGGGAGAAUUCCGCACUGCAGAUCUGAGAACCCAGUCCACAGCCCAGAGUGAAGGGUUUUAACACAUUUUCUCCAGAAAAUGAAGACUCACUCCUUGCAAGUUUCAAAGAAUAUCUGCCAGUAACAUUUUGUUGGAGAUCCAUGAUUUACAAAAGGUCCAGUAAUUUUGGUGAGAGUUUUUCAAAGCCGGGUGAGGAAGGUAAGACUGUUUCCCAGCACAAAGAAAGCUGCUAAUUUGAUGAAAUAUCAGCUGUGUUUGACAACAAAGAGAAACACGCCAUGAAAGCCCAACUGUUCCUUUCAGACGAUAUUAAUAGAAAACUGGCAAACAAGGAAGAUUAGUAGAAGAAUGUUCUACCAAGUAGAUCCAAUUUCUCCAAGGAAAUGUUAAUCCAUACUCAAUACGGUCUUCCACAUUUAAAAAAAAAAUGAGUCAUUGUCUCACUGAUUAUUUUAAGAGAUUUUAUAAAGGUUAACCCGUGUUCGAGUCAAAUGAAUCUUUUUGAUUUCUUUUUUCCCCUUCAGAUAUUUGUAAAGAACAUUACAGAUAUAUUCUUAAUGAAAUAAAAUUUUAAAAUACGCUUUUAAGUUAUUAUGGGCCCUUUGCCGAUUUCA